rnacentral:rRNA from 1 species
GACGAACGCUGGCGGCGUGCCUAAUACAUGCCAGUCGAACGAGAGCGACCGGUGCUUGCACUGGUCAAUCUAGUGGCGAACGGGUGAGUAACACGUGGGUAACCUGCUCAUCAGAGGGGGAUAACAUCCGGAAACGGAUGCUAAAACCGCAUAGGUCUUCGAGCCGCAUGGCUUGAAGAGGAAAAGAGGCGCAAGCUUCUGCUGAUGGAUGGACCCGCGGUGCAUUAGCUAGUUGGUGAGGUAACGGCUCACCAAGGCCGUGAUGCAUAGCCGACCUGAGAGGGUGAUCGGCCACAUUGGGACUGAGACACGGCCCAAACUCCUACGGGAGGCAGCAGUAGGGAAUCUUCCGCAAUGGACGCAAGUCUGACGGAGCAACGCCGCGUGAGUGAAGAAGGUUUUCGGAUCGUAAAACUCUGUUGUUAGAGAAGAACAAGUGCUAGAGUAACUGUUAGCGCCUUGACGGUAUCUAACCAGAAAGCCACGGCUAACUACGUG